UACGUAGGGGGCAAGCGUUGUCCGGAUUUAUUGGGCGUAAAGCGCGUGUAGGCGGCUGAGUAAGUCUGCUCUGAAAGCCCGGGGCUCAACCCCGGGAGGCGGGUGGAUACUGCUCAGCUCGAGUCCGGAAGAGGAGUGUGGAAUUCCUGGUGUAGCGGUGAAAUGCGUAGAUAUCAGGAGGAACACCGGUGGCGAAGGCGGCUACCUGGCCUAAGACUGACGCUGAGGUGCGAAGGCGUGGGGAGCGAACGGG
rnacentral:rRNA from 1 species